rnacentral:rRNA from 1 species
UGGCGGACGGGUGAGUAACGCGUGGGUAACCUGCCUCAUACAGGGGGAUAACAGUUAGAAAUGACUGCUAAUACCGCAUAAGACCACAGCACCGCAUGGUGCAGGGGUAAAAACUCCGAUGGUAUGAGAUGGACCCGCGUCUGAUUAGGUAGUUGGUGGGGUAACGGCCUACCAAGCCGACGAUCAGUAGCCGACCUGAGAGGGUGACCGGCCACAUUGGGACUGAGACACGGCCCAA